CGGACGGGUGAGUAAUGUCUGGGAAACUGCCUGAUGGAGGGGGAUAACUACUGGAAACGGUAGCUAAUACCGCAUAACGUCGCAAGACCAAAGAGGGGGACCUUCGGGCCUCUUGCCAUCGGAUGUGCCCAGAUGGGAUUAGCUAGUAGGUGGGGUAACGGCUCACCUAGGCGACGAUCCCUAGCUGGUCUGAGAGGAUGACCGGCCACACUGGAACUGAGACACGGUCCAG
rnacentral:rRNA from 1 species